AUGUGAAGGAGGAUGUGUUUGCUUCCCCUUCUGCCACAAUUGUACAUUUUCUGAGGCCUCCCCAGCCAGGCUGAACUGAGAAUCCCACAAAGUAGUCAGAGACCCCCCAAAGGGAAGACGUGUCAGGCUGAGGGAUUUCCUAUGACCUGGGAACCUGAGAGUCCAGUUGAUAAAACUUCAGACCCAUCCGAUGGCAGCACCUCCUUCUUCGAGGGUUCCCAGCUCUGAUGGAAUCAUUUUGACAUUUGACCACAGACCAUUGUCUGUCUACUCCGCAUGACAGUAAGCUGCAGGAGAAUGGCCAGGUGAAUACCCAAAG